rnacentral:rRNA from 1 species
UACGUAGGGGGCAAGCGUUGUCCGGAUUUAUUGGGCGUAAAGGGCGCGUAGGCGGCCUUCUAAGUCGAACGUGAAAUCCCCGGGCUCAACCCGGGAACUGCGUCCGAUACUGGAAGGCUUGAAUCCGGGAGAGGGAUGCGGAAUUCCAGGUGUAGCGGUGAAAUGCGUAGAUAUCUGGAGGAACACCGGUGGCGAAGGCGGCAUCCUGGACCGGCAUUGACGCUGAGGCGCGAAAGCCAGGGGAGCAAACGGG